GUCAGGAUGUCCGAGCGGUCUAAGGCGCUGCGUUCAGGUCGCAGUCUCCCCUGGAGGCGUGGGUUCGAAUUCCACUUCUGACA
rnacentral:tRNA from 1 species